rnacentral:rRNA from 1 species
AUUGAACGCUGGCGGCAGGCUUAACACAUGCAAGUCGAGCGGGGUGAUGGUGCUUGCACUAUCACUUAGCGGCGGACGGGUGAGUAAUGCUUAGGAAUCUGCCUAUUAGUGGGGGACAACAUCUCGAAAGGGAUGCUAAUACCGCAUACGUCCUACGGGAGAAAGCAGGGGAUCACUUGUGACCUUGCGCUAAUAGAUGAGCCUAAGUCGGAUUAGCUAGUUGGUGGGGUAGAGGCCUACCAAGGCGACGAUCUGUAGCGGGUCUGAGAGGAUGAUCCGCAACACUGGGACUGAGAAACGGCCCAGAGUCCUACGGGAGGCAGCAGUGGGGAAUAUUGGACAAUGGGGGGAACCCUGAUCCAGCCAUGCCGCGUGUGUGAAGAAGGCCUUAUGGUUGUAAAGCACUUUAAGCGAGGAGGAGGCUCUUUUGGUUAAUACCCAAGAUGAGUGGACGUUACUCGCAGAAUAAGCACCGGCUAACUCUGUGCCAGCCGCCGCAGUAA